UACGAAGGGGGCUAGCGUUGUUCGGAAUUACUGGGCGUAAAGCGCACAUAGGCGGAUACUUAAGUCAGGGGUGAAAUCCCGGGGCUCAACCCCGGAACUGCCUUUGAUACUGGGUAUCUCGAGUCCGGAAGAGGUGAGUGGAAUUCCGAGUGUAGAGGUGAAAUUCGUAGAUAUUCGGAGGAACACCAGUGGCGAAGGCGGUUGCCUGGGGCUUUGCUGACGCUGAUGCGCGAAAGCGUGGGGAGCGAUCCGG
rnacentral:rRNA from 1 species